CACUUGUGAGAUCAUGCACAAACUGGUGCUGCACAUCAUUGCAUCCACCACACGACAGAACCACCUUGGGUCCUGGAUGGCAAACACACAAGCAGACAACCGGUCCUUCCCCACCUCUCAAAAGCAA